UACGUAGGGCGCAAGCGUUAUCCGGAAUUAUUGGGCGUAAAGAGCUCGUAGGCGGUUUGUCGCGUCUGCCGUGAAAGUCCGGGGCUCAACUCCGGAUCUGCGGUGGGUACGGGCAGACUAGAGUGAUGUAGGGGAGACUGGAAUUCCUGGUGUAGCGGUGAAAUGCGCAGAUAUCAGGAGGAACACCAGGUGGCGAAGGCGGGCGCUGGCGGCGAACUGACGCUGAGGAGCGAAAGCGU
rnacentral:rRNA from 1 species